GGGAUAGCGUUGUUUGAUUGGGUAUUUUGUACCUAAAAAUGAUACAAAACGCUCAAAAUUUCCUCUAACCUGUCUCUGACUGAUUGACUUCUGGCCUGGUGCCACAAAUUUAUGCACACUGCAUUUUAUUUUGAAAAUUGACCGAAUUCUCUAUGGCCAACUAUUAGCUUGAUAUGUCAGGACCCUUGAGUAUGAUGGUAUCACGUCAGGAGCUCAUUUCAGUAAUUUGAAUUGAAAUUAAUGAAUUAUCCGUAGUGAAUUUCAUGGCAAUGUGGACAAGUAAUUGUUACCAAAGUUUUUUUUUUUUUAGAACAGUGAACCAAUAUAUAUGGCAACGAUGUUUACUUUCUGUUUCUUUACUUUUGCUGCCCUGUAAUGUAUACACCACACAAUUGUGUCUUAAUAAUGCAUUAGCAGCUGUCUUCCUGCUCAGCCCUGGAUGAAGUCUAGACACAACUAGACACAGCCUCCGGUGGAGUGUGUUAUACAACCAUCUAGUUUCAAGCACAGCCACAGCCAACUACCACUGCCUAGGGGCUGACUAGAUUGUGUGUGCGCUGGAGAGGGAAUGAGAGAUAGAGAUUGUCAGCAUGAGCGUACAUGCUGGUACAGCACAAGGUAAGGCGAGGUCCCCACCCAGUCUGUGAUGAUGGCAGGGGGCAGGACUCGGUCUGCCAGCGCUGGCUGCCUGCGAAGGUCAUGUAGAAGACACCACUGGAGUAUAAAUCAGGUCAAAGCCUCCAGUUGUGGCCUGCAGGAGAGCAUGUUGUUAGAGGAACGCAGCAGGCAGCAGGAGAUGAGAUUGGCCUCGCUCUCAUGUGUGAAAACAAGCUCAAAUGUAAACCUUCAGCUACUGCACUUAUAUAUUAGGCCAGUAUUGGCCUGAAAAGAUAUCUGCUUUUAACAGUGUCUGCCUAUAGAGGCCAAGAGCAGCUGUGGUUGCUAAUAAUUCUCAUAAUUUUCCCUUCCAAAGAUAUAUUAUAUCAAGGUAAUGAUUAUAUUAUCUUGUUAGUAGUCAAAAAGUAUAGCAGACUGUUUUAUGUUGCCGCAGUUUCACCAUCUUUCACCAUCAACAUGUAUAUUUUUUCUCAGGAGUUGAUGUUGAAUAAACCAGAGCUGUAAGUGGCCACAGGCAGCGUUCAUCAAAAAUGCUACUUACACAACUAGUAGAGCUGGUGUCCCAUGUACCAAGACUGAGUCCUUGCUGCAGCAGCCCAGGGUUUGAGUCUAUCUUCAGCUGUGCUAUCCAAUAAAGGCAAAAAGGACUUGAUACUGACUAGGACACUGAUAUCUGUUAAACCUUAGUCUGAACAUUAGUCUAAUGCCUGACAGUCCAAAAGCUGCCAAAGCUUCACAGGGGUUGUGAGGCUUAAUUGACUUUAAGAGCUGUAAGAAAACACCACUAUAUACACAGUCUGCCAUUUUUAAUUUUUGUAAAGAAAACUAAAUGAAUUUUUAAAGUUUAGAUUAAUUGAGAUCUAAACAUUGAAUACCUGAACACAAGCUAGAUUCUCAGAGCCUUGUCCUGCAUUAGAAAAGUAUGCAGUCAAAACAACCAAAGAGCUAAUAGCUAACAAUGGGCCCAUGUGAGGAGAAAAAAGUACAUACGUUGUAAAACCUGGUGAGUUAUUUCAACUCAUACUGUUUGAGGAAACCGAUUGCUUUAAACAAUAACAAUUUAAGCAUGAAAGAAAUUUGAUUUUGAGUAGAAGUAACUCAAGUGUUUAUUGUGAUGGUAACUUGGGUAAAUUAAGUUAACUGUACCAAUUCCAUUCAGUUAAUUGAAGUUAUACUCAUAUGCAGUAACUAAUUUAAAAUGUUUGAACAGAAUUUUUAGUUGAAUUUACUCAGUUUUCUUCCAUUAAAGCAAAUUAUUACAUUACCUGUCAAAACAGCUGGCAUACGAUGAACACAAUUUAUAAUAAAAGUAUUAUGUCAAAAUGGUUUUUCAUGUGACUAACAUAAAAUCUUUACACUUUGGGAAAUCAUUAAGAAUUAUUUGGUUGCAUACUUGGGCCUAUGAUGAUAAACUAAAAUUCAAAUAAAAAUUCUAAGCUAUAUACAGCAUUACAAUGCUAAAGUCAACUUCAAAAAACGAGUAAAUGGAAUAAACUGGAAUUAUACUGCCAGUUAAAAUGCUGCAAUACUGAGAUGUUACUUCAACAGUUAAUUUUUGAGUUAAUUUGUUGUGGGGGAAUCAUUUAUGUUAAUUUACUUAUUUUAUUAAGAUGUGUUAUUAAAUAUUAACAGGUAUUCUGUUCAAAAUUAAUCCAAGUUUUUACACAAACUUCAUGUAGUUAUUGCGUUCACUGUUCAUUGUACAGUUUAUCAGUUCUGUACUAUUAUUGUUAUAUGCAUUGAAUAUAAUAUGAAAUAUCCAUUAAAUAUGUCAUGUCGUUGUUGUGAGUUAA